rnacentral:rRNA from 1 species
ACUCCUGCGGGAGGCAGCAGUGGGGAAUAUUGGACAAUGGGCGCAAGCCUGAUCCAGCCAUGCCGCGUGAGUGAUGAAGGCCCUAGGGUUGUAAAGCUCUUUCACCGGUGAAGAUAAUGACGGUAACCGGAGAAGAAGCCCCGACUAACUUCGUGCCAGCAGCCGCGGUAAUACGAAGGGGGCUAGCGUUGUUCGGAUUUACUGGGCGUAAAGCGCACGUAGGCGGACUAUUAAGUCAGGGGUGAAAUCCCGGGGCUCAACCCCGGAACUGCCUUUGAUACUGGUAGUCUUGAGUUCGAGAGAGGUGAGUGGAAUUCCGAGUGUAGAGGUGAAAUUCGUAGAUAUUCGGAGGAACACCAGUGGCGAAGGCGGCUCACUGGCUCGAUACUGACGCUGAGGUGCGAAAGCGUGGGGAGCAAACAGGAUUAGAUACCCCUGUAGUCC